UCGACAAAAGCAACAGAAUAUUUCCAUGCAACAUACUCUAUAUAUAGAUAGAUCUAAACCACAGUCUUCAAUUACCGUCUUCAUCUGACCGUUCCUGUAUUGAUCAUCUUUGAAAAUGAGAGGCACAAUACUCGUAACCCUGGUGGUCCUUGGUUUGGUGAUCCCUCACGUGACUGCGGCCAACGUGGAAGAUCUCUUCGAUGAUGAAGGGGACCUCCAAAAUAUGUUUCUUGAUGAGGAGGCCUUAGACAACGUCCUGGCUGCUAGCUGCAUGGUUCUCGAAAGCGAUCCACGAUGCCGGUUCCUGGACUAAGAAGGCGGUCCACGAUGCCGGGGAUUGGACAAAGAAAGCCGCCAGUGAUGUUGCGGAUACUGUCAAGAAGGGGUGCGGUGUGAUCAACUCGCUGCCUGGAAAGGAACUGAUGAUGCGUAGGGAUAUACGCGAAGAGGCUCUCCGGGAACGUGGGGUCAGUGAAGACCAGCUUGCCGCUGCGUACUCGGGCUACAAGGGUCUCAAGAGUGUCUGCCAAACUGUGGGUUAAACCAAAUUUACGACAAAGAGGACAAGGACGAUUGAAAGGAAACACAUGAUGAAGCUCGCCUUCGAUCCUCAUUUAAAUUCAUCAACGAUUAUCUGUUUAUCAUUUUCUCAUAUACUUGGACACUUUCAUGAUGCCUGAUUGCGGUUGAUUUACUGAUAAGCAGAAUCUCUGCAGUUUUAAUUCAUUUUUUGUUCACUUCAAAAGAAAAUAAAUUUUGUAAUUCCAAUAUUCUUUUAUAGCCCCCGUAUUUGCGUAACGGAAAGGGAUAAAUAUGAAUGGUCAACGUUUUAAUGAUCAUGAUAUGGUGGGUAUUUAAAUAUUAAAAAACGCCACUUCGAUCCGCCCUAGCUGCAUUUUUCAGUUUGAACAUAGUCCCCGUACAAAUUAUAUGGAACCUCAUAUUUAAAUUAAAAGGAGUAUUUAUUGUUAACGUACAUCCAUGACAAAUUAGUAUAAUUAUUGAAGUUUGCUGAUCGUUCGUCCGAGGAGUAAAUUAUAAUAAAUUGAA